rnacentral:misc_RNA from 1 species
GAUGAAGAACGCAGCGAAAUGCGAUAAGUAAUGUGAAUUGCAGAAUUCAGUGAAUCAUCGAAUCUUUGAACGCACAUUGCGCCCUUUGGUAUUCCAAAGGGCAUGCCUGUUCGAGCGUCAUUUGUACCUUCAAGCUUUGCUUGGUGUUGGGCGUUUUUUGUCUCCCUCUUUCUGGGAGACUCGCCUUAAAACGAUUGGCAGCCGGCCUACUGGUUUCGGAGCGCAGCACAUAUUUUGCGCUUUGUAUCAGGAGAAAAGGACGGUAAUCCAUCAAGACUUCUACAUUUUUAACUUUUGACCUCGGAUCAGGUAGGGAUACCCGCUGAACUUAAGCAUAUCAAUAAGCGGAGGA